AGUGAACGCUGGCGGCAGGCCUAACACAUGCAAGUCGAACGGCAGCACGGCAGUAGCAAUACUGUGGGUGGCGAGUGGCGGACGGGUGAGGAAUACAUCGGGAUCUACCCUGUUGUGGGGGAUAACGUAGGGAAACUUACGCUAAUACCGCAUAAGAACUGAGGUUGAAAGCGGCGGACCGCAAGGCGUCGCGCGAUUGGAUGAACCGAUGUCCGAUUAGCUAGUUGGCGGGGUAAAGGCCCACCAAGGCGACGAUCGGUAGCUGGUCUGAGAGGACGACCAGCCACACUGGAACUGAGACACGGUCCAGACUCCUACGGGAGGCAGCAGUGGGGAAUAUUGGACAAUGGGCGCAAGCCUGAUCCCAGCCAUGCCGCGUGGGUGAAGAAGGCCUUCGGGUUGUAAAGCCCUUUUGUCCGGAAAGAAAAGCAUUCGGUUAAUACCCGGGUGUUCUGACGGUACCGGAAGAAUAAGCACCGGCUAACUUCGUG
rnacentral:rRNA from 1 species